AAGCAAUAUUUCCAGGUUAGAAGAACACUGACUUCGUUUGUCUGUCCAUUGUCAUUGGAUCUUGCAGCCUGAAGAGCACUUUGUGGUACGACCAAGGUCAGACAGCAAGGAGGAAGCCUUGAGGUCAUCGUUGAGAGGUUGAAAGACCCAUUACCAUCCAAACAGUGAUCGCAGCAGACAGUUGCCAACCUCUGCCCACACGUGGAUGCCUGAACACUGAAAUGACAUCACCGGCACUGAACAAAGGUUUCCCCAAAUGAUGUUAAAAGAGCACCACACUGGUUCUGCGUGAAACAAGAUUAGGUAUUUCAAAAGUUUUCUCACAUGGAACCUUCCAAGGUAAGUCAAAACUACCACUUCCAUCUGGACAU